UGGAAAAAUAGGCCUAUAGUAAGGCUUCUAACCUAGCUAUGAGAGGCUCAUUUCCUCUCUUUUCCAA
rnacentral:tRNA from 1 species